rnacentral:rRNA from 1 species
AAAGUCCCGCAAGGGAUCAGUAGAGUGGCAAACGGGUGAGUAACACGUGGGUGACCUGCCUUCGAGUGGGGGAUAACGUCCCGAAAGGGACGCUAAUACCGCAUGACAUCCUGCCUUUGAACAGGCGGAGAUCAAAGCCGGGGAUCGCAAGACCUGGCGCUUGGAGAGGGGCCCGCGUCCGAUUAGCUAGUUGGUGAGGUAACGGCUCACCAAGGCGACGAUCGGUAUCCGGCCUGAGAGGGCGGACGGACACACUGGGACUGAGACACGGCCCAGACUCCUACGGGAGGCAGCAGUGGGGAAUUGUUCGCAAUGGGCGCAAGCCUGACGACGCAACGCCGCGUGGAGGAUGAAGAUCUUCGGGUCGUAAACUCCUUUCGAUCGAGACGAACGGCUUCCGGGUGAACAAUCCGGGAGAGUGACGGUACCGAGAGAAGAAGCCCCGGCUAACUCCGUGCCAGCAGCCGCGGUAAUACGGGGGGGGCAAGCGUUGUUCGGAAUUACUGGGCGUAAAGGGCUCGUAGGUGGCCAACUAAGUCAGACGUGAAAUCCCUCGGCUUAACCGGGGAACUGCGUCUGAUACUGGAUGGCUUGAGGUUGGGAGAGGGAUGCGGAAUUCCAGGUGUAGCGGUGAAAUGCGUAGAUAUCUGGAGGAACACCGGUGGCGAAGGCGGCAUCCUGGACCAAUUCUGACGCUGAGGAGCGAAAGCCAGGGGAGCAAACGGGAUUAGAUACCCCGGUAGUCCUGGCCCUAAACGAUGAAUGCUUGGUGUGGCGGGUAUCGAUCCCUGCCGUGCC